AAUGUCGAUAUUCGACGUCAUAAACACGAUCUACUUUGGUGUAUAUUACGUCGAUAUUCGACGUCAUAAACACGAUCAACUUUGGUGUUUAUAACGUCGAUAUUCGACGUCAUAAACACGAUCAACUGUGGUGUUUCUGACGUAGAUAUUCGACGUCAUAAACACGAUAAACUUUGGUGUUUAUGACGUCGAUAUUCGAGGACAUAAACGCGAUCAACUUUGGUGUUUAUGACGUCGAUAUUCGACGUC
rnacentral:miRNA from 1 species